AAACAUUCUGACAGCACUCUAAUGACAGUCACAGAGACUCCAAAUUCCUUUUCUCCGUAGUGGAUAGAUCCCCUUUCCAUCCUUUUGAUCUUCAUCAAAAAACGAAGCCGCAGCCACUGCAGUCCUAUUUACUCCCGCCAUAAGCCCGGCAGCUGUCUGGGAACCACGGGCAUUUUCAAGCUUUGAAGACAAGAGUCUGAUGUUCACACACAAAAGUGUCCUUCUCACAAAGCCACAAACUAAAGCGACUGUUUCUGGUUUUGAAGUAGCGGAAAAACCAUGUGUCAGUUAGGCAUCGCAUGCCUCAUUACACACAUCAGAAUGUGAAAGCGUUUCUAGACCAUGAGUGGCGUUCACUGUAACAAUGUGUGGUUCCACAGCGCUGCUGACAUCCGACUGGACAAGCGCCACUGGUUAAAAUGAGCCGGCACACCAACUCGUGUUUACCGAGCAUCCCUGCACACCAGGCACUGAGUGUCUCCCUGUGUAGCUCUGACUUAUUUGGCACAUUCUAUGUAGACCAGACUGAUUUUGACCCUGCAGCGAUCCUUCCGGCUCUGCUGCCCGGAUGUUGGAGCUACAGAUACUGCACUACAACAUCUCCAUAGGCGUUUUUAUAGUUCAAGGUUCUGCAGCUGAUUGGAUGUCUCCUCUGUUCUUAGCCAUGCAUACUCAUGUUUCUGGGCUCAGGUGGAGAUCUGGUGGUGUUGACUUUGCUGCUCUUGAUUGAAUAAAGAACUAGGUUGUAAACAUU